CAGAGUACCGGUGCCCUCGGGCGCCUACUCCCACCCUUUGUGAACUUAACUCUGUUGCUUUGGCGGGCCGGGUGCCCACGCGCCGCCGGCCCAGGCUGGAGAGCGCCCGCCAGAGGACCAUUUAAACUCUGCUCACCGUGGCAUCUGAGUAAAACAAAAAUUGAAUCA
rnacentral:misc_RNA from 1 species